CCCUUAGAUGUUCUGGGCCGCACGCGCGCUACACUGAUGCAUUCAACGAGCCUAUCCUUGACCGACAGGUCCGGGUAAUCUUUGAAUCUGCAUCGUGACGGGGAUAGAUUAUUGCAAUUAUUAAUCUUCAACGAGGAAUGCCUAGUAGGCGCGAGUCAUCAGCUCGCGUCGAUUACGUCCCUGCCCUUUGUACACACCGCCCGUCGCUACUACCGAUCGAACGAUUUUGCGAGGUAUCUGGACUGGCAUCUGCCUGGAAGGCCGUUCUUCGGGAUGGUUCGAAGGGUGUGCUUGCCGGGAAAGGGCCCAAGCAUGGUCGUUUAGAGGAAGUAAAAGUCGUAACA
rnacentral:rRNA from 1 species